GAUGAACGCUGGCGGCGUGCCUAAUACAUGCAAGUCGAGCGAACAGACGAGGAGCUUGCUCCUCUGACGUUAGCGGCGGACGGGUGAGUAACACGUGGAUAACCUACCUAUAAGACUGGGAUAACUUCGGGAAACCGGAGCUAAUACCGGAUAAUAUAUUGAACCGCAUGGUUCAAUAGUGAAAGACGGUUUUGCUGUCACUUAUAGAUGGAUCCGCGCCGCAUUAGCUAGUUGGUAAGGUAACGGCUUACCAAGGCAACGAUGCGUAGCCGACCUGAGCGGGUGAUCGGCCACACUGGAACUGAGACACGGUCCAGACUCCUACGGGAGGCAGCAGUAGGGAAUCUUCCGCAAUGGGCGAAAGCCUGACGGAGCAACGCCGCGUGAGUGAUGAAGGUCUUCGGAUCGUAAAACGCUGUUAUUAGGGAAGAACAAAUGUGUAAGUAACUAUGCACGUCUUGACGGUACCUAAUCAGAAAGCCACGGCUAACUACGUG
rnacentral:rRNA from 1 species